rnacentral:lncRNA from 1 species
AUUUAAUAGACAUUUGUUGAACUUCAUAUUUGUUGAAUUGCAGAUGGGAAUACAUAGAAAACCAAGGAAAGGACCCAUUUACUUGAACCACUUACAAGAAUUCAAGUUGAUGAGACUCCUUGUGUAUGAUGAUGACUUACAGAUCUUCCCAUUUGCAGACAAGCCUGGAAUAAUUCAGAACUUCUUAGAUGUGAGCCAGAAUUACUUUCUAGAGUAAUUUAGUCUGACAGGACACACAGAAAAGACCAGAAGAUAAAGAAUGGUUAUUGCCCAGAUUGUAACAUGCAUUUAGACAGAAAAUCAAUAGAUCUUGCCCAUAUUACGUACAUUUAGGACAGACAAUACAGAUGCACUGAUAGACAAGUUGGGUCCAGAGUUGAAUAGGAGGAGUAGAGUGGGAUGGAUUGCCUUCAGUAAAUGGCAAAACUCCCUUUUUGACCUGAAUCUUCCUAUAAAAAAGCAAAGACUCAUUUAAAAAAUGAUGGCAUUCUAGAGUGUUACUCUUUGGUGGCAAGAUAAAAAAUGCAAUAACCUUAAAUACAGCAUGAAUUGAAGAGGCCCAGAGCAGUGUUUUACAUACAAACUAUACAUACACACAUAUGCACAGUGAUUGUGGUGCUGCAAAAAUAAGUGGGGCAAUCAGAAGUGACCCCUUAGAAAAGGUGGCACUUAAACUGAGCCUUAAAAGAUUUUAAGAGGCACAGGUAAAGUGGAGAGCACUCCAAGUAUGGAAAAUAGCCUUUGCUAAGGCAAAGGAGGGAGAUGAGAGACUAGAGGAGUACUUAUUCUGGAAAACUGCUUAAUAAUUUGUGAUUGAAAAGAAAAGAACCAAGAUAAAGUAAAUAAUGUAGGAUUUUUAGUAGAGUAGUAUUGGGCAAUUAGGUGGUGUAGGACUGGACUUGAGUUCUAGUUUCAGGGAAGUCUAGAUUCAGGGAAGAUAAGAGUUCAGAUUUGACCUUAGACACUUGUAAGCUGUGUGAUCCUCUGUAAGACACCUAAACUUACCUUGAUUUUCUCAUCUGUAAAGUGGAGAUUAAUAAUAGCACCCAUCCUCUCAGGGUUGUUGUGAUGAAAAAAUGAGAUGAUAUUUGUAAAGUACUAUAUAAAUGCUAGCUGCUAUUAUUAAUUUAUUUUUAUUCUUAAGGCAAGUAGGGAGCCACUCGAACUUUUUUGGUUUAGUGAUCAACUUAACUUUCAGGACCAUGAAGAAUGAAUUAGAGAGAAGAGACACUGGAUAUAGGGAGAUCUACUAGGAAUCUAUUACAAUUGUCCAGGCAAGAGGUGAGAAGGGCUUGAAUUAGUGGCUGAGAUCCAAGUAGAGAGAAGAGGUCCGAUGUAAGAGAUGUGGAGGAGGUGGAAUUGACAGGGUGUAAUAAAAUAAUGAACUGAGAGAAACUUACUUGUUGA